rnacentral:rRNA from 1 species
UACGUAGGGUGCAAGCGUUAAUCGGAAUUACUGGGCGUAAAGCGUGCGCAGGCGGUUAUGUAAGACAGGUGUGAAAUCCCCGGGCUUAACCUGGGAACUGCAUUUGUGACUGCAUAGCUAGAGUACGGUAGAGGGGGAGUGGAAUUCCGCGUGUAGCAGUGAAAUGCGUAGAUAUGACGGAGGAACACCGAUGGCGAAGGCAAUCCCUGGACCUGUACUGACGCUCAUGCACGA